rnacentral:rRNA from 1 species
UCCUACGGGGAGGCAGCAGUGGGGAAUUUUGGACAAUGGGCGAAAGCCUGAUCCAGCAAUGCCGCGUGCAGGAUGAAGGCCUUCGGGUUGUAAACUGCUUUUGUACGGAACGAAAAAGCUCCUUCUAAUACAGGGGGCCCAUGACGGUACCGUAAGAAUAAGCACCGGCUAACUACGUGCCAGCAGCCGCGGUAAUACGUAGGGUGCGAGCGUUAAUCGGAAUUACUGGGCGUAAAGCGUGCGCAGGCGGUUAUGUAAGACAGAUGUGAAAUCCCCGGGCUUAACCUGGGAACUGCAUUUGUGACUGCAUGGCUAGAGUACGGUAGAGGGGGAUGGAAUUCCGCGUGUAGCAGUGAAAUGCGUAGAUAUGCGGAGGAACACCGAUGGCGAAGGCAAUCCCCUGGACCUGUACUGACGCUCAUGCACGAAAGCGUGGGGAGCAAACAGGAUUAGAUACCCUGGUAGUCCACGCCCUAAACGAUGUCAACUGGUUGUUGGGAAUUAGUUUUCUCAGUAACGAAGCUAACGCGUGAAGUUGACCGCCUGGGGAGUACGGCCGCAAGGUUGAAACUCAAAGGAAAUUGACGGA